ACUGCGUGAUGGGGACACUUCCUAAACAUUUCCUUCAAACGCUCCCAAUUCUCAUAAAAUUCCUCGCCAUCUAGUUGAGUGAAACUAGUGAUGGCUCGUCUUAUACU